rnacentral:rRNA from 1 species
AUUGAACGCUGGCGGCAGGCCUAACACAUGCAAGUCGAGCGGAUGAAGGGAGCUUGCUCCUGGAUUCAGCGGCGGACGGGUGAGUAAUGCCUAGGAAUCUGCCUGCUAGUGGGGGCUAACGUCCGGAAAGGGGCGCUAAUACCGCACACGUGCUGAGGGCGCAUGUGGGGGAUCUUCGGCCUUCACGCUAUCAGAUGACCCUAGUUCGGUUGAGCUAGGUGGCGGGGUAAAGGCCUACCAAGGCGACGAUCCGUAACUGGUCUGAGAGGAUGAUCAGUCACACGGGAACUGAGACACGGUCCAGACUCCUACGGGAGGCAGCAGUGGGGAAUAUUGCACAAUGGGCGAAAGCCUGAUCCAGCCAUGCCGCGUGAGUGAAGAAGGUCUUCGGAUUGGAAAGCACUGUAAGUUGGGAGGAAGUGCAGUAAGUUAAUACCUGGCUGUUUUGACGUUACCAACAUAAUAAGCACCGGCUAACUUCGUG